rnacentral:rRNA from 1 species
UACGGGGGGAGCAAGCGUUGUUCGGAUUUACUGGGCGUAAAGGGCGCGUAGGCGGCCAGCACAAGUCAGUUGUGAAAUCUCCGAGCUUAACUCGGAAAGGUCAACUGAUACUGUGCGGCUAGAGUGCGAAAGGGGCAACUGGAAUUCUUGGUGUAGCGGUGAAAUGCGUAGAUAUCAAGAGGAACACCUGCGGCGAAGGCGGGUUGCUGGGCCGACACUGACGCUGAGGCGCGAAAGCCAGGGGAGCGAACGGG